rnacentral:rRNA from 1 species
UACGGGGGGGGGCAAGCGUUGUUCGGAAUUACUGGGCGUAAAGGGCUCGUAGGCGGCCAACUAAGUCGGAUGUGAAAUCCCCAGGCUUAACCUGGGAACUGCAUCCGAUACUGGAUGGCUUGAAUCCGGGAGAGGGAUGCAGAAUUCCAGGUGUAGCGGUGAAAUGCGUAGAUAUCUGGAGGAAUACCGGUGGCGAAGGCGGCAUCCUGGACCGGCAUUGACGCUGAGUGAGCGAAAGCCAGGGGAGCAAACGGG